rnacentral:rRNA from 1 species
AACGAACGCUGGCGGCAGGCCUAACACAUGCAAGUCGAAGGAGAAGCCGGGCUUCGGCCCGGUGGAAACUGGCGCACGGGUGAGUAACGCGUGGGUAUCUACCUCGGGGUGGGGAAUAACCGCUGGAAACGGCGGCUAAUACCGCAUACGCCUUCAGAGGGAAAGCUCCGGCGCCCUGAGAGGAGCCCGCGUUGGAUUAGCUUGUUGGUGGGGUAAUGGCCUACCAAGGCUACGAUCUAUAGCUGGUCUGAGAGGAUGAUCAGCCACACUGGGACUGAGACACGGCCCAGACUCCUACGGGAGGCAGCAGUGGGGAAUAUUGGACAAUGGGCGCAAGCCUGAUCCAGCCAUGCCGCGUGAGUGAAGAAGGCCUUAGGGUUGUAAAGCUCUUUCACCUGCGAAGAUGAUGACGGUAGCAGGAGAAGAAGCCCCGGCUAACUCCGUG